UACGGAGGGGGCUAGCGUUGUUCGGAAUUACUGGGCGUAAAGCGCACGUAGGCGGCGAUUUAAGUCAGAGGUGAAAGCCCGGGGCUCAACCCCGGAACUGCCUUUGAGACUGGAUUGCUUGAAUCCGGGAGAGGUGAGUGGAAUUCCGAGUGUAGAGGUGAAAUUCGUAGAUAUUCGGAAGAACACCAGUGGCGAAGGCGGCUCACUGGACCGGGAUUGACGCUGAGGUGCGAAAGCGUGGGGAGCAAACAGG
rnacentral:rRNA from 1 species